UUACGGCCACAUUAUGUUGAAACACCGUUUCCCGUAAGAUCAACAAAAGUAAGCAACGUUGAACCUGGGCAGUACCUAGAUGGGUGACCGCUUGAGAAUACCAGAUGUUGCAAG